rnacentral:rRNA from 1 species
AUUGAACGCUGGCGGCAUGCUUUACACAUGCAAGUCGAACGAGUGGCGAACGGGUGAGUACUAUAUCGGAACGUACCGAGUAAUGGGGGAUAACCAUUCGAAAGAUUGGCUAAUACCGCAUAUUAUUCGAGCGGCCUCUAACUCUUUAGCUAGUUGUUGGGGUAAAGGCCUACCAAGGCGACGAUCAGUAGCGGGUCUGAGAGGACGAUCCGCCACACUGGGACUGAGACACGGCCCAGACUCAUACGGGAGGCAGAAGUGGGGAAUUGUGGACAAUGGGGGCAACCCUGAUCCAGCCAUGCCGCGUGUAUGAAGAAGGCCUUCGGGUUGUAAAGUACUUUUGGUAGGGAAGCGGUAAAUAAAGAAUAAGCACCGGCUAACUACGUGCCAGAAGACGCGGUAAGAG